AGGGAACAUAUCAUGUUCUGUGACAUAUUACCGACACGACAAUCGUUUACUAAAUACAAUAACAGCUUCUUGGAAUUCUGAAUAUGUAGAUUAGGUAUAGAAUAAAUGUAUAUAUACAGGAUUCUCUGCCAACUAAAAAAAUCUGUAUCCUAGGAAACGCGUUCUAUAUAAUGGCUCAGAUUACAUCACUCAUUCCUAAUUUUGAAAUCAC